GGUGAGUAGCGCGUGGUGAUCUGCUCGAAGUGUGGAAUAACGAUCAGAAGAAUCGCUAAUACCGCAUAGUCUCUCUUUUCCAGAAAUUGAGAGUAAAGGAUUAUUCGCUUUGAGAGGAGCCUGCGUCCCAUCAGCUAGUUGGUAAGGUAAUGGCCUACCAAGGCGAUGACGGGUAGGGGACCUGAGAGGGUGGCCCCCCACAAUGGAACUGAAACACGGUCCAUACACCUACGGGUGGCAGCAGUAGGGAAUAUUAGAAAUGGACGAAAGUCUGAUCUAGCACCACCGCGUGUGCGAAGAAGGCCUUCGGGUUGUAAAGCACUCUUUGGAAGGAUCAGGAAGGAAUGUACUUCCAGAAUAAGUCUCGGCUAACUACGUGCCAGCAGCCGCGGUAACACGUAGGAGGCAAACGUUCUCCGGAUUUACUGGGCGUAAAGCGCG
rnacentral:rRNA from 1 species